rnacentral:rRNA from 1 species
CGGGCCUACGGGGCGCAGCAGUGGGGGAUAUUGGACAAUGGGGGGAACCCUGAUCCAGCGACGCCGCGUGAGUGAAGAAGUAUUUCGGUAUGUAAAGCUCUGUCAGCAGGGAAGAAAGAAAUGACGGUACCUGACCAAGAAGCCCCGGCUAACUACGUGCCAGCAGCCGCGGUAAUAUGUAGGGGGCAAGCGUUAUCCGGAUUUACUGGGUGUAAAGGGGGCGCAGACGGCAGCGCAAGCCAGGAGUGAAAGCCCGAGGCCCAACCCCGGGACUGCUCUUGGAACUGCUCGGCUGGCGUGCAGGA